GGACAAUGAAGGAAGCGACUCUACUCUUACUUUGCUGGACAACAAUUCAAGUGUGUAACCUUUACUGUCUACUAAUAGCUGAUGAUGGAGGAGAAGACAUAAAGAAGAAGUCAGGCUGGAUCCAGGCAGCAGUUCUGACUCCAGUGCUUUGCUGCACAACAAACCAAG